ACGUAAGGAGCAAGCGUUGUCCGGAUUCACUGGGUGUAAAGGGUGCGUAGGCGGAUUGGUAAGUCAGGGGUGAAAUCUCACGGCUCAACCGUGAAAUUGCCUUUGAUACUGCCGAUCUUGAGUUCGGGAGAGGUCGAUGGAAUUCCAGGUGUAGCGGUGAAAUGCUUAGAUAUCUGGAAGAACACCAGUAGCGAAGGCGGUCGACUGGCCCGUAACUGACGCUCAGGCACGAAAGCGUGGGGAGCGAACAGGA
rnacentral:rRNA from 1 species